rnacentral:rRNA from 1 species
ACUCCUACGGGAGGCAGCAGUGGGGAAUAUUGCACAAUGGGCGCAAGCCUGAUGCAGCCAUGCCGCGUGUAUGAAGAAGGCCUUCGGGUUGUAAAGUACUUUCAGCAGUGAGGAAGGUGGGUAUGUUAAUAGCAUACUCAUUUGACGUUAGCUGCAGAAGAAGCACCGGCUAACUCCGUGCCAGCAGCCGCGGUAAUACGGAGGGUGCGAGCGUUAAUCGGAAUUACUGGGCGUAAAGCGCAUGCAGGUGGUUUGUUAAGUCAGAUGUGAAAGCCCGGGGCUCAACCUCGGAAUUGCAUUUGAAACUGGCAAACUAGAGUACUGUAGAGGGGGGUAGAAUUUCAGGUGUAGCGGUGAAAUGCGUAGAGAUCUGAAGGAAUACCGGUGGCGAAAGGCGGCCCCCUGGACAGAUACUGACACUCAGAUGCGAAAGCGUGGGGAGCAAACAGGAUUAGAUACCCUGGUAGGCUGAGC